GUGGAGAGCUCUUAGAGACUCACCCAGAAAGACUGUAAUCGCUGUUAAAGGUGCUUCUACAAAGGACUGACAAUCCAGGUGUGGAGAGCUCUUAGAGACUCACCCAGAAAGACUGUAAUCGCUGUUAAAGGUGCUUCUACAAAGGACUGACAAUCCAGGUGUGGAGAGCUCUUAGAGACUCACCCAGAAAGACUGUAAUCGCUGUUAAAGGUGCUUCUACAAAGGACUGACAAUCCAGGUGUGGAGAGCUCUUAGAGACUCACCCAGAAAGACUGUAAUCGCUGUUAAAGGUGCUUCUACAAAGGACUGACAAUCCAGGUGUGGAGAGCUCUUAGAGACUCACCCAGAAAGACUGUAAUCGCUGUUAAAGGUGCUUCUACAAAGGACUGACAAUCCAGGUGUGGAGAGCUCUUAGAGACUCACCCAGAAAGACUGUAAUCGCUGUUAAAGGUGCUUCUACAAAGGACUGACAAUCCAGGUGUGGAGAGCUCUUAGAGACUCACCCAGAAAGACUGUAAUCGCUGUUAAAGGUGCUUCUACAAAGGACUGACAAUCCAGGUGUGGAGAGCUCUUAGAGACUCACCCAGAAAGACUGUAAUCGCUGUUAAAGGUGCUUCUACAAAGGACUGACAAUCCAGGUGUGGAGAGCUCUUAGAGACCCACCCAGAAAGACUGUAAUCGCUGUUAAAGGUGCUUCUACAAAGGACUGACAAUCCAGGUGUGGAGAGCUCUUAGAGACUCACCCAGAAAGACUGUAAUCGCUGUUAAAGGUGCUUCUACAAAGGACUGACAAUCCAGGUGUGGAGAGCUCUUAGAGACUCACCCAGAAAGACUGUAAUCGCUGUUAAAGGUGCUUCUACAAAGGACUGACAAUCCAGGUGUGGAGAGCUCUUAGAGACUCACCCAGAAAGACUGUAAUCGCUGUUAAAGGUGCUUCUACAAAGGACUGACAAUCCAGGUGUGGAGAGCUCUUAGAGACUCACCCAGAAAGACUGUAAUCGCUGUUAAAGGUGCUUCUACAAAGGACUGACUUGAGGGUGGGAAUACUUAUGUCAAUGUGAUAUCUGUAUUUCAUUGUCAAUACGUUUGCAAAAAUGU